UGGGGAAUAUUGGACAAUGGGCGAAAGCCUGAUCCAGCAAUGCCGCGUGUGUGAAGAAGGUCUUCGGAUUGUAAAGCACUUUCGACGGGGAUGAUGAUGACGGUACCCGUAGAAGAAGCCCGGCUAACUUCGUGCCAG
rnacentral:rRNA from 1 species